GAUGAACGCUGGCGGCGUGCCUAAUACAUGCAAGUCGAGCGAACGGACGAGAAGCUUGCUUCUCUGAUGUUAGCGGCGGACGGGUGAGUAACACGUGGAUAACCUACCUAUAAGACUGGGAUAACUUCGGGAAACCGGAGCUAAUACCGGAUAAUAUUUUGAACCGCAUGGUUCAAAAGUAAAAGACGGUCUUGCUGUCACUUAUAGAUGGAUCCGCGCUGCAUUAGCUAGUUGGUAAGGUAACGGCUUACCAAGGCAACGAUGCAUAGCCGACCUGAGAGGGUGAUCGGCCACACUGGAACUGAGACACGGUCCAGACUCCUACGGGAGGCAGCAGUAGGGAAUCUUCCGCAAUGGGCGAAAGCCUGACGGAGCAACGCCGCGUGAGUGAUGAAGGUCUUCGGAUCGUAAAACUCUGUUAUUAGGGAAGAACAUAUGUGUAAGUAACUGUGCACAUCUUGACGGUACCUAAUCAGAGAGCCACGGCUAACUACGUGCCAGCAGCCGCGGUAAUACGUAGGUGGCAAGCGUUAUCCGGAAUUAUUGGGCGUAAAGCGCGCGUAGGCGGUUUUUUAAGUCUGAUGUGAAAGCCCACGGCUCAACCGUGGAGGGUCAUUGGAAACUGGAAAACUUGAGUGCAGAAGAGGAAAGUGGAAUUCCAUGUGUAGCGGUGAGAUGCGCAGAGAUAUGGAGGAACACCAGUGGCGAAGGCGACUUUCUGGUCUGUAACUGACGCUGAUGUGCGAAAGCGUGGGGAUCAAACAGGAUUAGAUACCCUGGUAGUCCACGCCGUAAACGAUGAGUGCUAAGUGUUAGGGGGUUUCCGCCCCUUAGUGCUGCAGCUAACGCAUUAAGCACUCCGCCUGGGGAGUACGACCGCAAGGUUGAAACUCAAAGGAAUUGACGGGGACCCGCACAAGCGGUGGAGCAUGUGGUUUAAUUCGAAGCAACGCGAAGAACCUUACCAAAUCUUGACAUCCUUUGACAACUCUAGAGAUAGAGCCUUCCCCUUCGGGGGACAAAGUGACAGGUGGUGCAUGGUUGUCGUCAGCUCGUGUCGUGAGAUGUUGGGUUAAGUCCCGCAACGAGCGCAACCCUUAAGCUUAGUUGCCAUCAUUAAGUUGGGCACUCUAAGUUGACUGCCGGUGACAAACCGGAGGAAGGUGGGGAUGACGUCAAAUCAUCAUGCCCCUUAUGAUUUGGGCUACACACGUGCUACAAUGGACAAUACAAAGGGCAGCGAAACCGCGAGGUCAAGCAAAUCCCAUAAAGUUGUUCUCAGUUCGGAUUGUAGUCUGCAACUCGACUACACGAAGCUGGAAUCGCUAGUAAUCGUAGAUCAGCAUGCUACGGUGAAUACGUUCCCGGGUCU
rnacentral:rRNA from 1 species